rnacentral:rRNA from 1 species
UACGUAGGGAGCAAGCGUUGUUCGGAUUUACUGGGCGUAAAGGGCGCGUAGGCGGCGUGUUAAGUCAGCUGUGAAAUCUCCAAGCUCAACUUGGAACGGCCAGCUGAUACUGAUGUGCUAGAGUGCAGAAGGGGCAAUCGGAAUUCUUGGUGUAGCGGUGAAAUGCGUAGAUAUUGGGAGGAACACCAGUGGCGAAGGCGGCUCACUGGACUGGUACUGACGCUGAUGCGCGAAAGCGUGGGGAGCAAACAGG